AAUAAACGUUGGCGGUGCGCCUUAUGCAUGCAAGUCGAACGGCUGAGCACGUAACUUGUUAUGUGCUCGGUAGUGGCGAACGGCUGAGUAACACGUAAGUAACCUGCCUUGGAGUGGGAAAUAACUUGCUGAAAGGCGAGCUAAUGUCCCAUGCGGUAAUGAAGCUUAGGCUUCAUUAUUAAAGCCUUCGGGCGCUCCAAGAGGGGCUUGCGCCUGAUUAGCUAGUUGGCAGGGUAAUGGCCUACCAAGGCGAUGAUCAGUAGCUGGUCUGAGAGGAUGGCCAGCCAGAUGGGGACUGAGACACGGCCCCAACUCCUACGGGAGGCAGCAGCAAGGAAUCUUGGGCAAUGGGCGAAAGCCUGACCCAGCGACACCGCGUGAGGGAGGAAGGCCUUCGGGUUGUAAACCUCUUUUCCUGGGGAAGAAUCUUGACGGUACCCAGGGAAUAAGCCUCGGCCAACUACGUGCCAGCAGCCGCGGUAAUACGUAGGAGGCGAACGUUAUUCGGAUUUACUGGGCGUAAAGUGAGCGUAGGCGGUUCCUUAAGGCAGAUGUGAAAUCUUCUGGCUCAAUCAGAAGGAGUCAUUUGCUACUGAGGUACUUGAGAGCAACAGAGGGAAAUGGAAUCCCCAGUGUAGCGGUGAAAUGCGUAGAUAUUGGGGAGAACACCAGUGGCGAAGGCGAUUUCCCAGGUUGUUUCUGACGCUGAGGCUCGAAAGCGUGGGGAGCGAAGCGGAUUAGGUACCCGCGUAGUCCACGCCCUAAACGGUGGACACUAGAUAUAGGAGGUAUCGACCCUUUCUGUGUCGAAGCUAACGCUUUAAGUGUCCCGCCUGGGGAGUACGGCCGCAAGGCUG
rnacentral:rRNA from 1 species